CAUAUCAAUAAGCGGAGGAAAAGAAACUAACAAGGAUUCCCCUAGUAACUGCGAGUGAAGCGGGAAAAGCUCAAAUUUAAAAUCUGGCGGUCUUUGGCCGUCCGAGUUGUAGUCUGGAGAAGCGUCUUCCGCGCUGGACCGUGUAUAAGUCUCUUGGAACAGAGCGUCAUAGAGGGUGAGAAUCCCGUCUUUGACACGGACUACCAGUGCUUUGUGAUGCGCUCUCAAAGAGUCGAGUUGUUUGGGAAUGCAGCUCAAAAUGGGUGGUGAAUUCCAUCUAAAGCUAAAUAUUGGCGAGAGACCGAUAGCGAACAAGUACCGUGAGGGAAAGAUGAAAAGCACUUUGGAAAGAGAGUUAAACAGUACGUGAAAUUGCUGAAAGGGAAACGCUUGAAGUCAGUCGCGUUGUCCGGGACUCAGCCUUGCUUCGGCUUGGUGCACUUUCCGGAUGACGGGCCAGCAUCGAUUUUGACCGCCGGAAAAGGGCUGGAGGAAUGUGGCACCUUCGGGUGUGUUAUAGCCUCCAGUCGCAUACGGCGGUUGGGAUCGAGGAACGCAGCACGCCUUAUGGCGGGGGGUUUACCCUACCUUCGUGCUUAGGAUGCUGGCAUAAUGGCUUUAAACGACCCGUCUUGAAACACGGACCAAGGAGUCUAACAUGCCUGCGAGUGUUUGGGUGGAAAACCCGAGCGCGUAAUGAAAGUGAAAGUUGAGACCUCUGUCGUGGAGGGCAUCGACGCCCGGACCUGACGUUCUCUGACGGAUCCGCGGUAGAGCAUGUAUGUUGGGACCCGAAAGAUGGUGAACUAUGCCUGAAUAGGGUGAAGCCAGAGGAAACUCUGGUGGAGGCUCGUAGCGAUUCUGACGUGCAAAUCGAUCGUCAAAUUUGGGUAUAGGGGCGAAAGACUAAUCGAACCAUCUAGUAGCUGGUUCCUGC
rnacentral:rRNA from 2 species